rnacentral:rRNA from 1 species
GGGUUGUGAGGUUAAGCGACUAAGCGUACACGGUGGAUGCCCUGGCAGUCAGAGGCGAUGAAGGACGUGCUAAUCUGCGAUAAGCGCCGGUAAGGUGAUAUGAACCGUUAUAACCGGCGAUUUCCGAAUGGGGAAACCCAGUGUGAUUCGUCACACUAUCAUUAACUGAAUCCAUAGGUUAAUGAGGCGAACCGGGGGAACUGAAACAUCUAAGUACCCCGAGGAAAAGAAAUCAACCGAGAUUCCCCCAGUAGCGGCGAGCGAACGGGGAGGAGCCCAGAGCCUGAAUCAGCAUGUGUGUUAGUGGAAGCGUCUGGAAAGGCGCGCGAUACAGGGUGACAGCCCCGUACACAAAAGCGCAUGUGCUGUGAGCUCGAUGAGUAGGGCGGGACACGUGGUAUCCUGUCUGAAUAUGGGGGACCAUCCUCCAAGGCUAAAUACUCCUGACUGACCGAUAGUGAACCAGUACCGUGAGGGAAAGGCGAAAAGAACCCCGGCGAGGGGAGUGAAAAAGAACCUGAAACCGUGUACGUACAAGCAGUGGGAGCACAGGUUUACCUGUGUGACUGCGUACCUUUUGUAUAAUGGGUCAGCGACUUAUAUUCUGUAGCAAGGUUAACCGAAUAGGGGAGCCGGAGGGAAACCGAGUCUUAAUUGGGCGUUAAGUUGCAGGGUAUAGACCCGAAACCCGGUGAUCUAGCCAUGGGCAGGUUGAAGGUUGGGUAACACUAACUGGAGGACCGAACCGACUAAUGUUGAAAAAUUAGCGGAUGACCUGUGGCUGGGGGUGAAAGGCCAAUCAAACCGGGAGAUAGCUGGUUCUCCCCGAAAGCUAUUUAGGUAGCGCCUCGUGAAUUCAUCUCCGGGGUAGAGCACUGUUUCGGCUAGGGGGCCAUCCCGGCUUACCAACCCGAUGCAAACUGCGAAUACCGGAGAAUGUUAUCACGGGAGACACACGGCGGGUGCUAACGUCCGUCGUGAAGAGGGAAACAACCCAGACCGCCAGCUAAGGUCCCAAAGUCAUGGUUAAGUGGGAAACGAUGUGGGAAGGCCCAGACAGCCAGGAUGUUGGCUUAGAAGCAGCCAUCAUUUAAAGAAAGCGUAAUAGCUCACUGGUCGAGUCGGCCUGCGCGGAAGAUGUAACGGGGCUAAACCAUGCACCGAAGCUGCGGCAGCGAACGUAUCACCCAAGACAACUUUACGGAGUUGACGAUUGACGGAGCGAAGCGACGUCAAAGCGUUCAUUAAAGUCGAGUUGGCUUAGGGAUACGUUCGUUGGGUAGGGGAGCGUUCUGUAAGCCUGUGAAGGUGUGUCGUGAGGCAUGCUGGAGGUAUCAGAAGUGCGAAUGCUGACAUAAGUAACGAUAAAGCGGGUGAAAAGCCCGCUCGCCGGAAGACCAAGGGUUCCUGUCCAACGUUAAUCGGGGCAGGGUGAGUCGACCCCUAAGGCGAGGCCGAAAGGCGUAGUCGAUGGGAAACGGGUUAAUAUUCCCGUACUUGGUGUUACUGCGAAGGGGGACGGAGAAGGCUAUGUUGGCCGGGCGACGGUUGUCCCGGUUUAAGCGUGUAGGUGUGUGUUCCAGGUAAAUCCGGUUCACUUUAACACUGAGGCGUGACGACGAGGCACUACGGUGCUGAAGCAACAAAUGCCCUGCUUCCAGGAAAAGCCUCUAAGCAUCAGGUAACACGAAAUCGUACCCCAAACCGACACAGGUGGUCAGGUAGAGAAUACCAAGGCGCUUGAGAGAACUCGGGUGAAGGAACUAGGCAAAAUGGUGCCGUAACUUCGGGAGAAGGCACGCUGACACGUAGGUGAAGUGAUUUACUCAUGGAGCUGAAGUCAGUCGAAGAUACCAGCUGGCUGCAACUGUUUAUUAAAAACACAGCACUGUGCAAACACGAAAGUGGACGUAUACGGUGUGACGCCUGCCCGGUGCCGGAAGGUUAAUUGAUGGGGUCAGCGCAAGCGAAGCUCCUGAUCGAAGCCCCGGUAAACGGCGGCCGUAACUAUAACGGUCCUAAGGUAGCGAAAUUCCUUGUCGGGUAAGUUCCGACCUGCACGAAUGGCGUAAUGAUGGCCAGGCUGUCUCCACCCGAGACUCAGUGAAAUUGAACUCGCUGUGAAGAUGCAGUGUACCCGCGGCAAGACGGAAAGACCCCGUGAACCUUUACUAUAGCUUGACACUGAACAUUGAGCCUUGAUGUGUAGGAUAGGUGGGAGGCUUUGAAGUGUGGACGCCAGUCUGCAUGGAGCCGACCUUGAAAUACCACCCUUUAAUGUUUGAUGUUCUAACGUGGACCCGUAAUCCGGGUUGCGGACAGUGUCUGGUGGGUAGUUUGACUGGGGCGGUCUCCUCCUAAAGAGUAACGGAGGAGCACGAAGGUUGGCUAAUCCUGGUCGGACAUCAGGAGGUUAGUGCAAUGGCAUAAGCCAGCUUGACUGCGAGCGUGACGGCGCGAGCAGGUGCGAAAGCAGGUCAUAGUGAUCCGGUGGUUCUGAAUGGAAGGGCCAUCGCUCAACGGAUAAAAGGUACUCCGGGGAUAACAGGCUGAUACCGCCCAAGAGUUCAUAUCGACGGCGGUGUUUGGCACCUCGAUGUCGGCUCAUCACAUCCUGGGGCUGAAGUAGGUCCCAAGGGUAUGGCUGUUCGCCAUUUAAAGUGGUACGCGAGCUGGGUUUAGAACGUCGUGAGACAGUUCGGUCCCUAUCUGCCGUGGGCGCUGGAGAACUGAGGGGGGCUGCUCCUAGUACGAGAGGACCGGAGUGGACGCAUCACUGGUGUUCGGGUUGUCAUGCCAAUGGCACUGCCCGGUAGCUAAAUGCGGAAGAGAUAAGUGCUGAAAGCAUCUAAGCACGAAACUUGCCCCGAGAUGAGUUCUCCCUGAGACUUAGAGUCUCCUGAAGGAACGUUGAAGACGACGACGUUGAUAGGCCGGGUGUGUAAGCGCAGCGAUGCGUUGAGCUAACCGGUACUAAUGAACCGUGAGGCUUAACCUUACAACGCCGAAG